ensembl:lncRNA
AAAAACAUAUAUGAAAACUGAAAACUCAACAAUCGUCUAUUGCUUAAAAAGGUCCAGUCUACAUAACUCACGACUCUUUGCUGUUCUGGCUCAGGAAUAGUGGAAUGAGCUCUCUGAUGACAUCAGGACCGCAGAGAGCCUUCACAUCUUACAGGACACACCUCUUCAGACUAUGACUUGACUAAAAACACAAUACAAAUUCUAGCACUUAAAUUGUACCUAUAAUGGCUCUUGUCUAUAACCAGCUGUAAAUAGGCUUAUUUAAUGAAAUUGCACUUUCUUGUUUCUUGUUCUUUUUAGUUUGUAUCCUUAUGGUUGAAAUGCACUUAUUGUAAGUCGCUUUAGAUAAAUAAGCUAAAUGACAUGUAAUGUUUCACUGCUCGAAUUGAUCGAAUUUCUGAUUAUGAGUAAUAGACAUAUACUGAUCCGCCCAUACACACACUUACACAUUUAACUUGUCUGUGAUACUUUGUCGGGCAGGGGGCAGUGUGAGGUUUUGCCUUGAUUAUUCAAUUCAAUUCAAGAUAGUUAAAAUAAUAAUAGAUAAAUAAAUCGCAUAACAAUGACAAUUGAAAUAAAG